rnacentral:rRNA from 1 species
CCUACGGGUGGCUGCAGUGGGGAAUUUUGGACAAUGGGCGCAACCCUGAUCCAGCCAUGCCGCGUGCGGGAAGAAGGCCUUCGGGUUGUAAACCGCUUUUGUCGGGGGAGAAAUCCUCUGGUCUAAUACCUCGGGGUCAUGACGGUACCGUGAGAAUAAGCACCGGCUAACUACGUGCCAGCAGCCGCGGUAAUACGUAGGGUGCAAGCGUUAAGCAGAAUUACUGGGCGUAAAGCUUGAGCAGGCGGGUGAAAUCCCCGGGCUCAACCUGGGAACUGCAUUUGUGACUGCAAGGCUGGAGUGCGGCAGAGGGGGAUGGAAUUCCGCGUGUAGCAGUGAAAUGCGUAGAUAUGCGGAGGAACACCGAUGGCGAAGGCAAUCCCCUGGGCCUGCACUGACGCUCAUGCACGAAAGCGUGGGGAGCAAACAGGAUUAGAUACCCUAGUAGUC